GGUCAAGUGAAUAAGUGCAUCAGGCGGAUGCCUUGGCGAUGAUAGGCGACGAAGGACGUGUAAGCCUGCGAAAAGCGCGGGGGAGCUGGCAAUAAAGCUAUGAUUCCGCGAUGUCCGAAUGGGGAAACCCACUGCAUUCUGUGCAGUAUCCUAAGUUGAAUACAUAGGCUUAGAGAAGCGAACCCGGAGAACUGAACCAUCUAAGUACCCGGAGGAAAAGAAAUCAACCGAGAUUCCGCAAGUAGUGGCGAGCGAACGCGGAGGAGCCUGUACGUAAUAACUGUCGAGAUAGAAGAACAAGCUGGGAAGCUUGACCAUAGCGGGUGACAGUCCCGUAUUCGAAAUCUCAACAGCGGUACUAAGCGUACGAAAAGUAGGGCGGGACACGUGAAAUCCUGUCUGAAUAUGGGGGGACCAUCCUCCAAGGCUAAAUACUCAUCAUCGACCGAUAGUGAACCAGUACCGUGAGGGAAAGGCGAAAAGAACCCCGGGAGGGGAGUGAAACAGAACCUGAAACCUGAUGCAUACAAACAGUGGGAGCGCCCUAGUGGUGUGACUGCGUACCUUUUGUAUAAUGGGUCAACGACUUACAUUCAGUAGCGAGCUUAACCGGAUAGGGGAGGCGUAGGGAAACCGAGUCUUAAUAGGGCGAUGAGUUGCUGGGUGUAGACCCGAAACCGAGUGAUCUAUCCAUGGUCAGGUUGAAGGUGCCGUAACAGGUACUGGAGGACCGAACCCACGCAUGUUGCAAAAUGCGGGGAUGAGCUGUGGGUAGGGGUGAAAGGCUAAACAAACUCGGAGAUAGCUGGUUCUCCCCGAAAACUAUUUAGGUAGUGCCUCGAGCAAGACACUGAUGGGGGUAAAGCACUGUUAUGGCUAGGGGGUUAUUGCAACUUACCAACCCAUGGCAAACUCAGAAUACCAUCAAGUGGUUCCUCGGGAGACAGACAGCGGGUGCUAACGUCCGUUGUCAAGAGGGAAACAACCCAGACCGCCGGCUAAGGUCCCAAAUGAUAGAUUAAGUGGUAAACGAAGUGGGAAGGCACAGACAGCCAGGAUGUUGGCUUAGAAGCAGCCAUCAUUUAAAGAAAGCGUAAUAGCUCACUGGUCGAGUCGUCCUGCGCGGAAGAUGUAACGGGGCUCAAAUCUAUAACCGAAGCUGCGGAUGCCGGUUUACCGGCAUGGUAGGGGAGCGUUCUGUAGGCUGAUGAAGGUGCAUUGUAAAGUGUGCUGGAGGUAUCAGAAGUGCGAAUGUUGACAUGAGUAGCGAUAAAGCGGGUGAAAAGCCCGCUCGCCGAAAGCCCAAGGUUUCCUACGCAACGUUCAUCGGCGUAGGGUAAGUCGGCCCCUAAGGCGAGGCAGAAAUGCGUAGUCGAUGGGAAACAGGUUAAUAUUCCUGUACUUGAUUCAAAUGCGAUGUGGGGACGGAGAAGGUUAGGUUGGCAAGCUGUUGGAAUAGCUUGUUUAAGCCGGUAGGUGGAAGACUUAGGCAAAUCCGGGUUUUCUUAACACCGAGAAGUGAUGACGAGUGUCUACGGACACGAAGCAACCGAUACCACGCUUCCAGGAAAAGCCACUAAGCUUCAGUUUGAAUCGAACCGUACCGCAAACCGACACAGGUGGGCAGGAUGAGAAUUCUAAGGCGCUUGAGAGAACUCGGGAGAAGGAACUCGGCAAAUUGAUACCGUAACUUCGGGAGAAGGUAUGCCCUCUAAGGUUAAGGACUUGCUCCGUAAGCCCCGGAGGGUCGCAGAGAAUAGGUGGCUGCGACUGUUUAUUAAAAACACAGCACUCUGCCAACACGAAAGUGGACGUAUAGGGUGUGACGCCUGCCCGGUGCCGGAAGGUUAAUUGAAGAUGUGCAAGCAUCGGAUCGAAGCCCCGGUAAACGGCGGCCGUAACUAUAACGGUCCUAAGGUAGCGAAAUUCCUUGUCGGGUAAGUUCCGACCCGCACGAAUGGCGUAACGAUGGCCACACUGUCUCCUCCCGAGACUCAGCGAAGUUGAAGUGGUUGUGAAGAUGCAAUCUACCCGCUGCUAGACGGAAAGACCCCGUGAACCUUUACUGUAGCUUUGCAUUGGACUUUGAAGUCACUUGUGUAGGAUAGGUGGGAGGCUUGGAAGCAGAGACGCCAGUCUCUGUGGAGUCGUCCUUGAAAUACCACCCUGGUGUCUUUGAGGUUCUAACCCAGACCCGUCAUCCGGGUCGGGGACCGUGCAUGGUAGGCAGUUUGACUGGGGCGGUCUCCUCCCAAAGCGUAACGGAGGAGUUCGAAGGUUACCUAGGUCCGGUCGGAAAUCGGACUGAUAGUGCAAUGGCAAAAGGUAGCUUAACUGCGAGACCGACAAGUCGGGCAGGUGCGAAAGCAGGACAUAGUGAUCCGGUGGUUCUGUAUGGAAGGGCCAUCGCUCAACGGAUAAAAGGUACUCCGGGGAUAACAGGCUGAUUCCGCCCAAGAGUUCAUAUCGACGGCGGAGUUUGGCACCUCGAUGUCGGCUCAUCACAUCCUGGGGCUGUAGUCGGUCCCAAGGGUAUGGCUGUUCGCCAUUUAAAGUGGUACGUGAGCUGGGUUUAAAACGUCGUGAGACAGUUUGGUCCCUAUCUGCAGUGGGCGUUGGAAGUUUGACGGGGGCUGCUCCUAGUACGAGAGGACCGGAGUGGACGAACCUCUGGUGUACCGGUUGUAACGCCAGUUGCAUAGCCGGGUAGCUAAGUUCGGAAGAGAUAAGCGCUGAAAGCAUCUAAGCGCGAAACUCGCCUGAAGAUGAGACUUCCCUUGCGGUUUAACCGCACUAAAGGGUCGUUCGAGACCAGGACGUUGAUAGGUGGGGUGUGGAAGCGCGGUAACGCGUGAAGCUAACCCAUACUAAUUGCCCGUGAGGCUUGACUCU
rnacentral:rRNA from 1 species